AAGUAAAAAUGGGAAAAAUAUGUAAAACUAUUGCAUUUUUGAGUAGUUAGUCUAGUGAUUCAUGGCUGGAAUUACGACGAUUUGCAUUUUAGCCUGCCCCCUCUUUUCAUCACAGACAGUGAUUGCAUUAUUGACUAGAGAAACAUAAAAACGCGUGGGGUCAUAUUUGAAACAAUGAAUAAUCUUAUAUAUAGUCUAAUACUAUAUGAGUAUGUGUGUGUUGUCACAUGAUCAUAAUUACGAAUUAAAAUAAAUAAUAUUAGCCCGGUACAUGAGUAUGUGCAACGCAAACGAAUAAUAAUUUGCAAUUAUGACCAUAAUUGAAUUGAUUGGAGAUCGUUCGUGUUACUUCAAUUGUCCUUCAAGUAAGUAGACACGCAGCAUGUCAUGUUGUGUUGAAAUCGAAUUGUGAUAUGAAUGAUUGAGACAGAAGCAAAAAACUAUGAUGAGGGAUUUAAUAAUAAAUUCGGGCCACUUACAUUUCAUUACGAAAACCCAACCAAAUUCGAUUAAUUUGAUCGUCCAUUAGAUCUAACAAAAGUAAAUCCAGCCACUCGGCCAAAAGGCCGAGUGGUGAGAGCUGCUGCUUUCCAAGUUGGAGAGCAGCAGUUCGAACCCCCACAAUGUAUGUGGGGGUGUUUCUUUUCUCAAAUAAAAUUGAGUGAAGGCAGUCUGCUUCCUUGCCCCAGUGCGAGGAGUAGACAUCCCUCGAAUAUUUGAGAGGGUUAAAAUUUGGGCAGAGCUCCAUUAGAUUUGAUGUAUGAUGGUCUCAGUUAUAGUCUGAUUUGUACAUAUCAGUUAUAUUCUCAUGUAAUAUGAGUUGUAAUCUGAGCAAUAGUCUCAUGUAAUCAAAAAAAAAAAAAACAAAAGUAAAUCCAAAUGGGCGAGAGGCUGUGUUUUAACGUUAAAGUUUAUUUGGCGCCCAUAUAUUUUAUUAUCCACAAUUUUUUUUAAAAAAUAUUGGGAUAAUUUUUUGCUUAGAUUCGUAUUACAUUUUUAAGAUGAUGGACCUACUACAGUAAUAAUAUUGUUAUUUUAUGUUCUUGUUUCAUCCUAAAUUUUAAUUCGAGUACACUUAAUUGUUCCCCAGUUGUAAGAAACCCCUUAACUUGAAUUUAAAAAAAAAAAAAAAACUAAAUCGUUAGAUUUAAAGGAAACAAGUCUUAACAAUGAUAAUUACAAUUAUAAAUAAAAAUUUGGGCCAGACUACUGUUACGUUGCGCCAUUGUAGAUGCUUAUAUUUUAAUAACAUAUUCAAUUGCACAAAUACUUAUAAUACCAUUUUAACAAAACUAUUUGAACACACCCAAAUACUCAUUAUACCAAUUUAUGAUUAUACCCACCACUAAAUUUUGAAAAUUAAAUUUAUACUCGAUAAGUCUAUACACCUAUCCAAGUGCCAAAAAAAUUCCUCAUAAAAUUCUUUAUAUGUGUGUCUUUUUUUGCAAAGAGAUUUUUUUAACAAAUAAAAUAAAAUAUUAAACAAAAAAAUCCCUAAUUUCCAUGGAGGAGAAAAUUAGUUGAUAAGACAACUAGCAAGGUAAUAAAAAAAGAGAGAGAUUGUUUAAUUUGGUAAAAAAAAAAGGAUUUUUGAAAGGUCAUAGACAUAAACAUAAAUAACAUAAAUCAUCCUAAUAUCUACAGAAAAAGUCAUAAAUUAGAAGGAUUGUAAGAUACCAUUGAAAUUUGCCAAUAGAUGUCCCCUUUGUCAUUCUAGCCGAUCCAUUAAAUUCGGAUUAUUGAUCACUUUUUAAUCAUUUAAGUGAUUUUAUUGAUUGAAUUGGAUGUAUAUAUUGAAUAAUUGACCAAUUAAAUUAGUUGAUGGAUUUUCUUUUCUAACCAUAUCCAUUUUUGUUACACACACACACUUUUCAGAUCUGAUUUAUAUAAUUCACCGAAAAUUUGAUGAAUUAUUAGCUCGGAUUUUAAUUUAUCAUUCAAUUAAAUAUUUUAAUAAAACAUAUUAAAUUUUAUUUUAUAGAUGUUAUUUUUUUCAAUAAGAAAGUAUAUUAUCUUUAGUGAACAAAUAUAAUAGGCGGUUUGGAAAGUUGUCCACCCAAAAAAUAGAUUCUAAUGGAUCCAAAGCUAGUCUAGCUACAUUGUGAGAGUACAUUGAGUUAAGAUUUGUUGUCGUCUUCUAAUAUAAGAUUAGGGAUGGUAAAAAGAUCCAGCCAAAAUUUUGGCCGAUUGACCCGACCCAAAGUUUUAAAACUUUGACCUAAAUUUAAGGGUCACUAGUAAGGUUCGAGCCUAAAUAUUAGAGUGCGAUUGUAUACGGGUUAAGGUCCAGGCUCUACAUGUC
rnacentral:lncRNA from 1 species